CAGCAGCCGCGGGAAUACGUAGGGUGCGAGCGUUAAUCGGAAUUACUGGGCGUAAAGCGUGCGCAGGCGGUUGUGUAAGACAGGUGUGAAAUCCCCGGGCUUAACCUGGGAAUGGCAGUGGAUACUGGCUCGCUAGAGUGUGUCAGAGGAUGGUGGAAUUCCCGGUGUAGCGGUGAAAUGCGUAGAGAUCGGGAGGAACAUCAGUGGCGAAGGCGGCCAUCUGGGACAACACUGACGCUGAGGCACGAAAGCGUGGGGAGCAAACAGGAUUAGAUACCCCGGUAGUCCCUGUCUCUUAUAC
rnacentral:rRNA from 1 species